GUAUGGGUUAUUCCAAUUUUUACUUAUUUUAUAAAUUUAAUAGCCAAUUGCCUGUGGCAGGCUGCUUUAGUUUAUGAACGUGUGAAAUAAUAGAUUCAUAGUUUAACAAUUGGCUUAUCACAUGAAAAUAUUUAAUCUGCUAACAAGGAAGAAAUGAUUUAAAUUCUGUUAAUUUGAAAUAGGACCUUGAUAUGAAUUAUUGUUUUAUGAUUUUCUUUCGCACAUGUCUGUGCACAAAAAAGAGAGAGAACUUUUUUUCCAUUGAUUUAUGCAG
rnacentral:misc_RNA from 1 species